rnacentral:rRNA from 1 species
GAUGAACGCUUUCUUCUUUCCUAAUACAUGCAAGUCGAGCGAACAGAUGAGGAGCUUGCUCCUCUGACGUUAGCGGCGGACGGGUGAGUAACACGUGGAUAACCUACCUAUAAGACUGGGAUAACUUCGGGAAACCGGAGCUAAUACCGGAUAAUAUAUUGAACCGCAUGGUUCAAUAGUGAAAGACGGUUUUGCUGUCACUUAUAGAUGGAUCCGCGCCGCAUUAGCUAGUUGGUAAGGUAACGGCUUACCAAGGCAACGAUGCGUAGCCGACCUGAGAGGGUGAUCGGCCACACUGGAACUGAGACACGGUCCAGACUCCUACGGGAGGCAGCAGUAGGGAAUCUUCCGCAAUGGGCGAAAGCCUGACGGAGCAACGCCGCGUGAGUGAUGAAGGUCUUCGGAUCGUAAAACUCUGUUAUUAGGGAAGAACAAAUGUGUAAGUAACUAUGCACGUCUUGACGGUACCUAAUCAGAAAGCCACGGCUAACUACGUG